GGCUGAGGUUCUGAGCUCGCCGUCCACCCGAGCCAUGUCCCCGGGGCUCCCCGGCCCCGCGCUGGCCCUGGGGCUUCUGGCGCUGCUGCUGCCCGGGACUCGCAGUGACUGUGGGCCCCUGCCGAAGCUGAAUUAUGCUAUCCCCUCCGAUAUGGAUCGGAUAGAGGGCUUCCCUGUUGACACACAAGUUACAUACAAGUGUCGUGAUGGCUUUUUUAAAAUCCCUGGAAAGUCAGACACCGUAGUGUGCCUUUCAAACUCACAAUGGUCAAGCAUGAAUGAGUUUUGUGGUCGUAGCUGUGAUGUCCCAACAAGGUUAAAGUUUGCUGCCUUAAGUAAGGAAGAUGAGAUGAGGAAUUACUAUCCUGCUGGGAUCAAUGUGAGAUAUACUUGUCGCCCAGGGUAUGAGAACAUCACAGAAAUGCUUCUUGUUAGUACUUGUCUUGACAACUUAACAUGGUCAGAAGCCCCUGAGUUUUGUAGAAGGAAAUCAUGUGGUCAUCCAGGAGAAGUACUCCAUGGCAGAGCUGUUCAUAAAACAGAAUUUCUGUAUGGUGCAAAAAUAGACUUCCUCUGUGAAGAUGGGUACAAAUUAAUUGGGCGGCCUUUCAUUCAUUGUGUGCUUAAGGGAGAUGAAGUUGAAUGGAGUGAACUUCCCACUUGCCAAGCAAUUACUUGUUCUUCCCCUCCCUACAUUGCCAAUGGAACGUAUGAUGGCAGGAGUGUCAAAAAUUUUGCUUAUAACUCAACAGUAACUUACAGAUGUGACCGUGGGUUCCAGCUUAUUGGAGCUGCCUCCAUUCAUUGUACAACAAAAGAUAAAACAAGUGGAAUCUGGAGUGGACCUGCUCCUAAAUGCAAAGACACAAUUGCACUUGUCCUAUUAAAAGGAAAUGAAACAAGUGGUACUUUCUUAGGUUCUUAUAGUGCAUCCAGUAACAUGGUACCCGAGCAGCAUCUGAAAAAGAAAAUAAAAAGCAGACCGUAUUAUGUAUCACAAUUCCAAAACAAAUAUUUCACCAUCACUUCCUCCCGUUCUUCCUCAUUUCCCAGAGGUGACCUGAGAAUGCGAGAUAGUUGGAUUACUCCACCACUGUUCAGAUUUGCUGUAUCCCUGCACGUUAAUCGGAACUAUUGUUCUGUCAGAACAAAUGAAAGAUCUAUGUGCCGCCAAAGUUACAUGGGAAUCUCUGGAGUAUUACCCAGCACCACGUGCUUUCAAAACUUAAAAUGGUCAGAAGUCCCAGGGUUCUGUGGAAAGAGAUCUUUGCUAUCCAGGAGAACAAGAGCGUGGCAGAACUGCUGCUAUAACAGAUUUCCAAUUCGGUGCAAGAGUGGAUUUCACCCAUGAAGAAGGGAGAGUAUCAGGCUGCAGCAAAAGCCAGCAGCUCUCAGUCAGACUCUGGAAACUGAGCAUCAAAGGGUAAUCUCAAACUUACUCAAGACUCCUGCUAUCCCUAAUGGAAUAGAUGGCAGAAAUGUCGAAAGAUUUGCCUAUGCCUCUGCAGCAACAUAGAUGUGACCGUGCUUUGUCUUUCAUUGAAGAGGAUUUAUUUAUUGUACAAUGGAAAAAAAACAAUGUACUGUGGAGUUGGCCUGGCCUGAAUGCAAAGGCGACUAGCAUUUAGUAUUUACCUCUCAUUCUACUGUCAUGCACCAGGAAAGUAUUAAUUACUGGGCAAGCACCUAAAUGUGAGGAAAUUGGUUCUUUUAGCUUAAACAUCUCAAUAAAUAUCUUUUUUAAACUGACCUUGUUGGAAGCUUAAGCUUUAUAGAACAGCUGAUCCACCAUAAAUAACUUCUUGGGAGCAAUUCUGCCUCUCCUAGUGCCUGCAUUUUUUUCCUUCCAUACCUUAAAGUUCUAAGACACAUCUCAGACCAGGGCAUGACUAUACUAUAUAAACUGCUACAGUGGCACGGCUGAAGGGCUGCAGGCGUGCCGCUUACCAUAGACGCUACUUAUGCAGACGAGAGAGGUUCUCCCAUCCACGUAGGUAAUCCAACUCUGCAGGAGGCAGUAGCUAGGUCAGCAGGAGAAUUCUUCUGUCAGUUUACUACUAUCUACACCAGGGGUUAGGUCAGCCCAGCUGCGUGUCUCAAGUGUGAGAAAUCCGUGGCCCUGAGACAGCUCUGCUGGUGUAAAUUCCUAAUGUGGGCCAGCCUCAGGACCAUGCUUUCACCAUAUACUUGAUAUGUUUCUCCUUUGCAAAGCCUAGCUCAACAGUUAUGCCAAUCUGGAAAUACCAACCCCCCAACUUCCUGGGGGGAAAACAGUAAAAUGUUCUUUAAUCUUGCUCCAUGCACAGGAGGAGCAUGUUGAGACCUCUUGCCAAUUUUGGUCACACCAGUAUUUUCCCCAAUGAUCUUUAUUCAUUCUCCAAGAGCAAUUUGUUUUCUCUCUCUACAUAUCUGAAAGCAAAUUCCCAGAGUAAAGAAAACAAGUUAGGAGAGUCUUGAGUAGAUUUUCAGAGAGGGUCUAUAUUUUUAGCCCUGCUUAGAGAAGCUGCAUCAUAUGUUAGGUCCUAGCCACACAGAGCUCAUGGGUUUGUAGACUUUAAGGGUCUAAACUCACUACCACUUGUGUAGUAUAGUGGGCAAACCAUGCACUUCUAAUGCAUUCUUUGAGUGUCAUCCAGAUUAUUUGAUGUGUGGAGUUGUAAUCCUGUUACUUAGAUUUGUUAGUAUGAAGACCAUGGAUGUGGUCCUGAAUUAUAAAACCCUUAUUUGUCACAUGGUCAUCCUUCCCCUUGAUAAAACUAAAAGGCAUGUUUACUGCCUCCAUGAAAUUUGUGUAAAGUCAAUUUUGUAAUGGAUGGAAAUCAAAAUUAAAGGAAAAAAUCACUGAGUUAAUUGGGUGGUCCCCAAACUGUGUUGCCUGCAUGACCCCAUUUUCAGACUCGAUUGCUCCAGUGAUCCCAGACAGCAUAGGGGAUGCUAUUUUGUAGAGCAAAAUGGAGUCCUCCGCACAUGGGAUUGUGACCCAACUGCUGAUGGUAUAACUCAAGUGGGGUCAUGACCCAUAGUUAGUAAACUGCUGAGUUAAGAUACACACCAAGCUCUUACAGAUUGUCUAGUGGACUGACUUCAACUGAAUUUAGACACAUAUCUAACCUUUACGUUUUAAAUGGAUCUCUUCUGGCAUACCUCUUAUUCCUGGACCUUUCUUUCCUUUCCCUCUUUCCAUUAGUCCUUGGGUCAAAAAGCACCUAAUGUCCUGUGGAUUAAUACGCAAGGAUAAUCCCUGCUUAACAUUUUAAAUUGUUGUAGCUCGUGAAGACAACAACCAAGUUGGGUCCUUUUAUGCUAGGUGGUGUAUAAAUGACAGUCCAUGCCCUGAGAUGGUGUAUUUGACCCAUUAUUCACAUAUGUACAACCUUUUGAUUUGUGAAUGACAAUACUCCAAUGUUAUCUAUUUAAUGCUUAUUUGCAGUGCAUGCUGCACCUCCACUUUGAAGUUGAAAUGGGCAUAGUCUGGACAGUACAGCUUACUAGAGGGGAGCCUAGGCAUGUAUGAGAGAGCCCUUAAGAUUCCUGAAGAUUGCAGAAGAACUAUGCAAACAGAUAUUCUGAUGCUCCCAUGAAAUUUUUACAAAGGACUUGUCUCAUCAGAACACCUUUCUCUUCAUGUCUGAAACAAGAAAGAGCCCUGAAAAACCUGCCUGCCUUCAAUGUUAGAUAAUCUGGGAGCAGCUCAGUUGCCUCAUCCAUGCUGUACACUUACUGCUAAUUUCCAAAUAUAAUAUUUGGUAUAAACUAAGAUAUUAAUUGCUGCUUCCAUAUGUAUGGCUUGUUCCUGGGAUCUGUUAACUGAUAUUCAUGAGUUUUCUAUUUCAGGUAACUUUUAAUUUCUUCUCUUUAUAUUGAGAAUAGCCAUUAUUUU